AUUGAACGCUGGCGGCAGGCCUAACACAUGCAAGUCGAGCGGAUGAAGGGAGCUUGUUCCUGGAGUCAGCGUCGGGCGGGGGAGUAUUGCCUAGGAGUCAGCCUGGCUGUGGUUGGUAACGUCUUGAAACGGGUGGUGAUACCGCCUACGACGUGAGGGUGCAGCUGGGGGAUGUUCGGACAUCAUGCUAUGAUAUGAGCGUAGGUCGGAUUAGCUAGUUUGUGGGGUAGAGGCAUACCAAGGCGAGGAUCCGUAACUGGUCGGCGUGGAUGAUCAGCCACACUGGAACGGAGACCCGCUCCAGACGCCUACGGGAGGCACCAGGGGGGAAUAGUGGACAAUGGGCGAAAACCUGAUCCAGCCAUGCCGCGUGUGUGAAGAAGGUCUUCGGAUUGUAAAGCACUUUAAGCUGGGAGGAAGGGCAGUACGCUAAUACCUUGCUGUUUUGACGUUACCAGGAGAAUAAGCAACGGCCAACUUCGUU
rnacentral:rRNA from 1 species